rnacentral:rRNA from 1 species
AUUGAACGCUGGCGGAAUGCUUUACACAUGCAAGUCGAACGGCAGCACGGACUUCGGUCUGGUGGCGAGUGGCGAACGGGUGAGUAAUGUAUCGGAACGUGCCCAGUCGUGGGGGAUAACGUAGUGAAAAUUACGCUAAUACCGCAUACGAUCUAUGGAUGAAAGCGGGGGAUCGCAAGACCUCGCGCGAUUGGAGCGGCCGAUACCAGAUUAGGUAGUUGGUGGGGUAAAGGCCCACCAAGCCAACGAUCUGUAGCUGGUCUGAGAGGACGACCAGCCACACUGGAACUGAGACACGGUCCAGACUCCUACGGGAGGUAGCAGUGGGGAAUUUUGGACAAUGGGCGAAAGCCUGAUCCAGCCAUUCCGCGUGCAGGAUGAAGGCCCUCGGGUUGUAAACUGCUUUUGUACAGAACGAAAAGGUUUCUACUAAUACUAGGAGCUCAUGACGGUACUGUAAGAAUAAGCACCGGCUAACUACGUGCCAGCCGCCGCGGUAA